GAGAGUCGAAGGACCAGAGAGGGCAGCGAGAAUGUAAGAGUCCGGCUUACACAGGAUCCAGCAGAGAUCCUGAAUUCCACACUUGGAGCUCGAAUCGGAUUCCAGCCAGAGCAGGAUCGACCUGUGGCGGAAAUCGACGAGCGCGAUCCGGCCAUGGCGGUCUCCAGCAGCAAGGAUCAAGUGAGAGGAGGAAGGCUCCGUGACGAGGAGGUCGCGGCGCAAGGGGUGGGGAGUCCAGCGUACGGAGGUGACGAAAGGAGAGAGAGCGGUGGAUGCGGAAGAGGAGGAAGAGGAAGUAGGAGCAGGGAGAGGUAUGGUGGCGAUGUGCUGGAGGGAGCGGGAGUCGAC
rnacentral:lncRNA from 1 species